GUGGGGAAUAUUGGGCAAUGGGCGAAAGCCUGACCCAGCAACGCCGCGUGAAGGAAGAAGGUCUUCGGAUCGUAAACUUCUAUCCUUGGUGAAGAUAAUGACGGUAGCCGAGAAGGAAGCCCCGGCUAACUACGUGCCAGCAGCCGCGGUAAUACGUAGGGGGCAAGCGUUGUCCGGAAUGAUUGGGCGUAAAGGGCGCGUAGGCGGCCUGGUAAGUCUGGAGUGAGAGUCCUGCUUUUAAGGUGGGAAUUGCUUUGGAGACUGUCGAGCUUGGGUGCAGGAGAGGUAAGUGGAAUUCCCGGUGUAGCGGUGAAAUGCGUAGAGAUCGGGAGGAACACCAGUGGCGAAGGCGACUUACUGGACUGUAACUGACGCUGAGGCGCGAAAGUGUGGGGAGCAAACAGGAUUAGAUACCCCGUAGUCC
rnacentral:rRNA from 1 species